UACGAAGGGGGCUAGCGUUGCUCGGAAUUACUGGGCGUAAAGGGAGCGUAGGCGGAUGUUUAAGUCGGGGGUGAAAGCCCGGGGCUCAACCCCGGAACUGCCUUCGAUACUGGGCAUCUAGAGUACGGGAGAGGUGUGUGGAACUCCGAGUGUAGAGGUGAAAUUCGUAGAUAUUCGGAGGAACAUCAGUGGCGAAGGCGGCUCACUGGCACGAUACUGACGCUGAGGUACGAAAGUGUGGGGAGCAAACAGG
rnacentral:rRNA from 1 species